rnacentral:rRNA from 1 species
CAGCAGCCGCGGUAAUACGAAGGGUGCAAGCGUUAAUCGGAGUUACUGGGCGUAAAGCGUGCGUAGGCGGUUUGUUAAGUCUGUUGUGAAAUCCCCGGGCUCAACCUGGGAAUGGCAAUGGAUACUGGCAAGCUAGAGUGUGUCAGAGGAUGGUGGAAUUCCCGGUGUAGCGGUGAAAUGCGUAGAGAUCGGGAGGAACAUCAGUGGCGAAGGCGGCCAUCUGGGACAACACUGACGCUGAGGCACGAAAGCGUGGGGAGCAAACAGGAUUAGAUACCCCCGUAGUCCCUGUCUCUUAUAA